rnacentral:rRNA from 1 species
UACGUAGGGUGCGAGCGUUGUCCGGAAUUACUGGGCGUAAAGAGCUCGUAGGUGGUUUGUCGCGUUGUUCGUGAAAACUCACAGCUUAACUGUGGGCGUGCGGGCGAUACGGGCAGACUGGAGUACUGCAGGGGAGACUGGAAUUCCUGGUGUAGCGGUGGAAUGCGCAGAUAUCAGGAGGAACACCGGUGGCGAAGGCGGGUCUCUGGGCCGAUACUGACGCUGAGGAGCGAAAGCGUGGGGAGCAAACAGG